AUGGAGGAAACGAGUGCUCUUUCGUGCUGUUCCUGUGUAAGUUCCGCUGUGCCCCGGAAGUGUGAAGACGUGGUCUCCGCGUCAGGCCGUCCGAGGAGAAGCCCCGCAGCGGGAGGCCCUGCCCACUCUCCCCCGGGCUCUGCCGCCGCAGCAGGGUCGCCGCGCGUGUCUGCACAGCCACGGCCUCUCUCAGGGUCGCCCCGCGUGUCUGCACAGUCACGGCCUCUCUCAGGGUCGCCCCGCGUGUCUGCACAGCCACGGCCUCUCUCAGGGUCGCCGCGCGUGUCUGCACAGUCACGGCCUCUCUCAGGGUCGCCCCGCGUGUCUGCACAGUCACGGCCUCUCAGGGUCGCCCCGCGUGUCUGCACAGUCACGGCCCCAGCAGGGUCGCCGCGCGUGUCUGCACAGUCACGGCCCCAGCAGGGUCGCCCCGCGUGUCUGCACAGUCACGGCCCCAGCAGGGUCGCCCCGCGUGUCUGCACAGUCACGGCCUCUCUCAGGGUCGCCCCGCGUGUCUGCACAGUCACGGCCCCAGCAGGGUCGCCCCGCGUGUCUGCACAGUCACGGUCUCUCAGGGUCGCCCCGCGUGUCUGCACAGUCACGGUCUCUCAGGGUCGCCCCGCGUGUCCGCACAGCCACGGCCUCUCAGGGUCGCCCCGCGUGUCUGCACAGUCACGGCCUCUCAGGGUCGCCCCGCGUGUCUGCACAGUCACGGCCUCUCAGGGUCGCCCCGCGUGUCUGCACAGUCACGGCCUCUCAGGGUCGCCCCGCGUGUCUGCACAGUCACGGCCGCAGCAGGGUCGCCCCGCGUGUCUGCACAGUCACGGCCUCUCAGGGUCGCCCCGCGUGUCUGCACAGUCACGGCCGCAGCAGGGUCGCCCCGCGUGUCUGCACAGUCACGGCCUCUCUCAGGGUCGCCCCGCGUGUCUGCACAGUCACGGCCCCAGCAGGGUCGCCCCGCGUGUCUGCACAGUCACGGCCGCAGCAGGGUCGCCCCGCGUGUCUGCACAGUCACGGCCGCAGCAGGGUCGCCCCGCGUGUCUGCACAGUCACGGCCUCUCAGGGUCGCCCCGCGUGUCUGCACAGCCACGGCCUCUCAGGGUCGCCCCGCGUGUCUGCACAGUCACGGCCCCAGCAGGGUCGCCCCGCGUGUCUGCACAGCCACGGCCUCUCUCAGGGUCGCCCCGCGUGUCUGCACAGUCACGGCCUCUCUCAGGGUCGCCCCGCGUGUCUGCACAGUCACGGCCGCAGCAGGGUCGCCCCGCGUGUCUGCACAGUCACGGCCUCUCAGGGUCGCCCCGCGUGUCUGCACAGCCACGGCCUCUCAGGGUCGCCCCGCGUGUCUGCACAGUCACGGCCCCAGCAGGGUCGCCCCGCGUGUCUGCACAGCCACGGCCUCUCUCAGGGUCGCCCCGCGUGUCUGCACAGUCACGGCCUCUCUCAGGGUCGCCCCGCGUGUCUGCACAGUCACGGCCCCAGCAGGGUCGCCCCGCGUGUCUGCACAGCCACGGCCUCUCUCAGGGUCGCCCCGCGUGUCUGCACAGUCACGGCCUCUCUCAGGGUCGCCCCGCGUGUCUGCACAGUCACGGCCCCAGCAGGGUCGCCCCGCGUGUCUGCACAGUCACGGCCUCUCUCAGGGUCGCCCCGCGUGUCUGCACAGUCACGGCCCCAGCAGGGUCGCCCCGCGUGUCUGCACAGUCACGGUCUCUCAGGGUCGCCCCGCGUGUCUGCACAGUCACGGCCUCUCUCAGGGUCGCCCCGCGUGUCUGCACAGUCACGGUCUCUCAGGGUCGCCCCGCGUGUCCGCACAGCCACGGCCUCUCAGGGUCGCCCCGCGUGUCUGCACAGUCACGGCCUCUCAGGGUCGCCCCGCGUGUCUGCACAGUCACGGCCUCUCAGGGUCGCCCCGCGUGUGGGCACAGUCACGGCCUCUCAGGGUCGCCCCGCGUGUCUGCACAGUCACGGCCGCAGCAGGGUCGCCCCGCGUGUCUGCACAGUCACGGCCUCUCAGGGUCGCCCCGCGUGUCUGCACAGUCACGGCCGCAGCAGGGUCGCCCCGCGUGUCUGCACAGUCACGGCCGCAGCAGGGUCGCCCCGCGUGUCUGCACAGUCACGGCCUCUCUCAGGGUCGCCCCGCGUGUCUGCACAGUCACGGCCUCUCAGGGUCGCCCCGCGUGUCUGCACAGUCACGGCCGCAGCAGGGUCGCCCCGCGUGUCUGCACAGUCACGGCCUCUCAGGGUCGCCCCGCGUGUCUGCACAGUCGCGGCCUCGCAUCGUGCACGUGGCUCUCCGGAGAAGCCGAGCAGUUCAGAAGUUGA
rnacentral:lncRNA from 1 species